CGACACACCUCUAAUCGUGAAUGAAGUUCGGGUGAUAGUCUGACGUGGGCUGUUGCCUCCUAAAGAGUGAGGGAGGCGCAGUGAAAUCGCUUCUCUAUAGUCGAUCAAAUGAAAACAAAGGCUUACAUGUAAAGGUGCUUCGCCACAAGAGUCACUGCUCGCACAGGGACCAACGGCGGUGUUAGUGAUCAAGUGCGCAUAGAUCGUAGGCCUGUCACUCAACGGAUAGAACCUACUAUAGGCAGACCAACCUGAUCCCUCUCUAUAUCCCAUAUUGAGGAGAGGUGUGGUACCUCGGUGUCCGCUCGUGGAGUUCUGAGACUGUAUCGGAUCACGGGUGCUGGUCUGUUCGCUCAUCAAAACCUCACAUGUAAAUCCAAACCAUCGAAGGAUUCGGUCCGUA
rnacentral:ncRNA from 1 species